GUUUGAUCAUGGCUCAGAACGUACGCUGGCGGCACGCCUUAUACAUGCAAGUCGAACGAAGUAGCAAUACUUAGUGGCAGACGGGUGAGUAACAUGUAGGUAUCUUCCCUUUGGUGAGGAAUAACACGAGGAAACUUGUGCUAAUACCUCAUAAGUCUUUACAGAGAAAGCUUUAUGCGCCAUUGGAUGAGCCUGCAUUUGAUUAGUUUGUUGGUGGGGUAAUGGCCUACCAAGACUGUGAUCAAUAGCUGUUCUUAGAGGAAGACCAGCCACAUUGGGACUGAGACACGGCCCAGACUCCUACGGGAGGCAGCAGUGGGGAAUCUUGCACAAUGGGGGAAACCCUGAUGCAGCGAUGCCGCGUGAGUGAAGAAGGCCCUUGGGUUGUAAAACUCUUUCGUCGGGGAAGAAAAUGACUGUACCCGAAUAAGAAGGUCCGGCUAACUUCGUGCCAGCAGCCGCGGUAAUACGAAGGGACCUAGCGUAGUUCGGAAUUACUGGGCUUAAAGAGCUCGUAGGUGGUUAAAAAAGUUGAUGGUGAAAUCCCAAGGCUCAACCUUGGAACUGCCAUCAAAACUUUUUAGCUAGAGUGUGAUAGAGGUAAGUGGAAUUUCUAGUGUAGAGGUGAAAUUCGUAGAUAUUAGAAAGAACACCAAAUGCGAAGGCAACUUACUGGGUCACUACUGACACUGAGGAGCGAAAGCAUGGGUAGCGAAGAGGAUUAGAUACCCUCGUAGUCCAUGCCGUAAACGAUGUGUGCUAGACGUUGGAAAUAUAUUUUUCAGUGUCGCAGCGAAAGCAUUAAGCACACCGCCUGGGGAGUACGACCGCAAGGUUAAAACUCAAAUGAAUUGACGGGGACCCGCACAAGCGGUGGAGUAUGUGGUUUAAUUCGAUGCAACGCGAAGAACCUUACCAGGGUUUGACAUCCUGCGAACCUCUUAGAAAUUUGAGGGUGCCUUCGGGAAUGCAGUGACAGGUGGUGCAUGGCUGUCGUCAGCUCGUGUCGUGAGAUGUUGGGUUAAGUCCCGCAACGAGCGCAACCCACGUUUUUAGUUGCCAGCAUUUAGUUGGGCACUCUAGAAAGACCGCCGGUGAUAAACCGGAGGAAGGUGUGGAUGACGUCAAGUCAUCAUGCCCCUUACACCCUGGGCUACACACGUACUACAAUGCUACGGACAAAGGGCAGCAAACUCGCGAGAGCUAGCAAAUCCCAUAAACCGUGGCUCAGUUCAGAUCGUAGGCUGCAACUCGACUGCGUGAAGCUGGAAUCGCUAGUAAUCGGAUAUCAGCCAUGAUCCGGUGAAUACGUUCCCGGGCCUUGUACACACCGCCCGUCAAGCCAUGGAAGCUGGGAGUACCUGAAGUCGGUGACCGCAAGGAGCUGCCUAGGGUAAAACUAGUGACUGGGGCUAAGUCGUAACAAGGUAGCCGUA
rnacentral:rRNA from 1 species